ACACCGGCAGCUCUAGUGGUAGCUGUUUUUAUUGGGCCUAAAGCGUUCGUAGCCGGUUUGGUAAGUCCCUGGUGAAAUCCUGUAGCUUCACUCUGGGAAUUGCUGGUGAUACUGUUGAACUUGAGGUCGGGAGAGGUUAGCGGUACUCCCAGGGUAGAGGUGAACUUCUGUAAUCCUGGGAGGACCACCUGUGGCGAAGGCGGCUAACUGGAACGAACCUGACGGUGAGGGACGAAAGCUAGGGGCGCGAACCGGAUUAGAUACCCGGGUAGUCCUAGCCGUAAACGAUGCGGACUUGGUGUUGGGAUGGCUUUGAGCCGCUCCGGUGCCGAAGGGAAGCUGUUAAGUCCGCCGCCUGGGAAGUACGGUCGCAAGACUGAAACUUAAAGGAAUUGGCGGGG
rnacentral:rRNA from 1 species